CAAUAGCGUAUAUUAAUGUUGUUGCAGUUAAAAAGCUCGUAGUUGAAUUUAGAAGGGGAGCCUUCUGUUUGUCCUCACUCCUGCAUCAGAUAGUUGCUUGAGUGAUCAAACUUUUACUGUGAGAAAACUAAAGUGCUCAAAGCAGGCUAACGCUUGAAUAUUAAAGCAUGGAAUAAUAAAAUAGGACUUUAUUCAUUUUAUUGGUUAUUGAAUGAAGUAAUGAUUAACAGAAACAGUUGGGGGCGAUUCGUAUUUAAUUGUCAGAGGUGAAAUUCUUGGAUUUAUGGAAGACGAACUACUGCGAAAGCAUUUACCAAGGAUGUUUUCAUUUAUCAAGAACGAAAGUUAGGGGAUCGAAGACGAUUAGAUACCAU
rnacentral:rRNA from 1 species